GACGAACGCUGGCGGUGUGCUUAACACAUGCAAGUGGUGCGACGAACCAGAGCUUGCUCUGGGGCAAAGCCGCGAACGGGUGAGUAACACGUGGGUAAUCUACCCCGAUGACCGGGACAACCCGAGGAAACUCGGGCUAAUACCGGAUGUGGUGCGGAGACAUAAGUCUCUUCACUAAAGGUAGCUUCGGCUUCCGCAUUGGGAGGGGCCCGCGGCCCAUUAGCUUGUUGGUGGGGUCAAGGCCUACCAAGGCAACGAUGGGUAGCUGGUCUGAGAGGACGAUCAGCCACACUGGGACUGAGACACGGCCCAGACUCCUACGGGAGGCAGCAGUGGGGAAUCUUGCGCAAUGCGCGAAAGCGUGACGCAGCAACACCGCGUGAGGGAAGAAGGCCUUAGGGUUGUAAACCUCUUUCGGAUGGGACGAAGGUUCUCCGGUGAAUAGCCGAGAGGAUUGACGGUACCGUCAGAAGAAGCUCCGGCUAACUACGUG
rnacentral:rRNA from 1 species